CAGGGAGGUCAAAUGACCUGAACUUGUCCAAUAAAGAAACACUUGUUUUAGUUUAUUACGCUCUCUACUGAACAGGACCCUGAGGGGUAAACUACGAAGCAGGUAGCAAGAUCACUUUGGUAAACUACGAGUUCAACUCGGGAUAACCGGUCAUGCAAAAGCAGCUCACCUUUUUAGCAAAGGUCAAUUUCUAUGGCAACGAAUCCUCCAGAACUAACCCGCUCCGGGGCAGGCUAACUCCACAUACCUAGAAUUAAAUGAUCAAUCAAAUCAGAUUCCCUCCCUCUCGCAAAGACUGUGUCAUCAUCCCCUUCAUUUGAGGAAGACGACUGAUUUUGAUUUUUUUUUUGUGUGUGUUAAAAAUAGUAAUGUUAAAAUAUCUAACAUUUCACAUUUAGUAAUGGCGGAAUGCAUUUGAAACUUCACCCCCAGUAGCACUUCUGUAUGACUCCAUAAUACUAUUUUAUUGAUAGGAGGGUGGGGGUGGGUGGGUGCCUGUGGUUGUUGUGCAUUGAUAAGCACACCAAAUACGGCACUAAUGAUAAGUAAUAAAAAUAAAGACUAAUUAAUGAUAAAUAAUACAAUUUAAAAAACGCGUUAAUGAUGCGUGAUAAAAUAAAGGCACUUCUAAAAGCCCAUUUCACACCACAACCUGCUCAGUUUCCAAAAUAACUUUUAUUUUCUCUUGAUUUCUGCACAAAUGAAAAUGUUGCACUGAGUCGCCCAUGGAUUGACGUUCAGCAUUGUCGCGAUGAAGAGUUCGCCGUUCAACUAGCCACGUGCGACAUGCACGCGCAGGCAGUUCACAAGCCUUCUAGAGUUCGCGGCAAGCGUACAAGCAAUAUCCACCGGCGUUAGGUACACAUGACGCCUGAACUGGGGUGUGAAGCUAGCUGAAGCUGGUUAGCUUUAGAAAGACCCUGAGUAGAUCUAGCAUGCUUCGUAGGAUAACCCCUCUGGUUAACUGUCUCGGUUGGUUUGGAUUUCUCCGGCUUGUAUUUUAUUCUUUCUGUUUGGGGAUAAAGAGCAAUAAAACCACGGAACGACAGUGUUAAAUAGAAUCCUUCAGAGUUAAAUAAGAGAGGGAGUCUAUCUCUCAGGCAGGGUGAUUACUGCUGAAUUUGUGUGUCUGAUAUGCAUAUGUGGUGUGCUGUAUGUGUAAUAUAAUACUGUAUGUUAAAUUACAUACAUGUAAUAUAAUACUGUAUGUUUAAUUACAUACAUGUAAUAUAAUACUGUAUGUUUAAUUACAUACAUGUAAGAUAAUACUGUAUGUUUAAUUACAUGCAUGUAAUAUAAUACUGUAUGUUUAAUUACAUACAUGUAAGAUAAUACUGUAUGUUUAAUUACAUACAUGUAAGAUAAUACUGUAUGUUAAGUUACAUACAUGUAAAUAUAAUACUGUAUGUUUAAUUACAUACAUGUAACAUAAUAAUGU
rnacentral:lncRNA from 13 species